CCGGGUUCCCGGCGCCCCGCCUUCCCCAAUGCCCAUAAAAGCGCAUGUCCCCGUCUCGGUAGCCACUGGACACCUGCAUCUGCCAACAAGACCGGAAGCAGGUCAGCGCAUGGACGUCUUCCCAGAAAGUGACAAAGACGGCGAAGUUUGACAGUCUGGAAAGCGGAGACCAGACGGGCUGACUACCUGAGAGCACCGCGACUCCGGACAGCGCCUCUCGGGGUCCGGGAUGGGCCCCGCUAUCUGCUUCAGCACCGUGGCUGCGGACAGCUCCUGGCGGAGGCCCGGGGCCCCCGACUUCGUUUCAGCACCCGGACAGCGGACAGCUCCCCGAGAUAAUAAGCAGGCGCGAUGAAACCGCACGUAGAAAUCUGUAAUUUCCAGCAGACUUCCGUGAGAAGCAUUGUGCCAAGCGUUUUGCAUAGAUUCUAUCAUGCCAUCUGCAAUCCUAGGACACGGGUGUUAUGAUGCCCAGGACCAGGAAUGGAAAACAGGAGGCGGUGGAGAAGCAAGAAGCCCGGGUGUUCCGGCUUGGCUCAGUUCCAGGGGCCAGUUACAGGACAGCUGUCCACUCGUGCCUGGUAGUUGUGGCAUCAUCAACGCCCACCCCAAAUUCUCUGUGACAUCCUAAUGAAGUCCAGAGACACCACGUCAAGCUCGUUCCAGCCUCAGAGUGCAUGCCUUUGCUGUUCCCUCAGCUUGGAAUGCUCUGCUCCCCAAGCACCCCAAGGCUCCCUCCGCCUUCUUAUCCAAGCCUCAGGUCACCAAGAGAAUCUUGUCUCCCCGCUCCCCCCCAUAGCAAGUCUAUAUUACACAUUCUCAUAGACACGGGAAAUCUUCUCUCUGGCACAUAGUCCAAUUCUUUGGUCUUAUCUGUUUACAGGGCUGUCUGUCUCCCCCCACUACACUGUGAGCCCCAUGAGGACAGAGACUGUGUUUGUAUUUUCCCAGCACUCAUGCAUGGCCUUGCACACAGCAGGUGCUCAAUAAAUGUUUGUUGAAUCAGUAAAGGCAUCAGAGGAUAAAACAACGUAUCAGUCAAUAAAGGAAUUGAUGGUUUCAGCAUGCACAUGAAGGUCCUACUUCUUUCUCCUCGACCUCCCC
rnacentral:lncRNA from 1 species